UUUCCGGAACCCAUUUCUUCUCUCUUUUCCUUCUCUCUCGCGCCUCACCCUCAUUGUCCGAAAAUCCCUUUCGACCCGACCCAAACCCGGCCGACCCGACCCGACUUUUUCGGCCACCUCGGACCGACCUAGACGCCGGCACCGGUUGGGUUUUCUUCCUCUCCUCCGUCCGAGCUGCCUUGUGGUGGUGGCUUGCGCCGAUUCUCAGCGGUGUGUGCGAUUCGAAGCUUGGAUGUUCGGGUUAGAGACCCGAACGAAAUUCUCACCUCCGGCGGUGGCGACGCAGCUUGGAACCGGUCGGGAUAGAUGCUCCUUGGCGUCCUGGUUUUUUUUCUGGUAGUCUUCUAGUGCGACUCACGGCGGAGAGUGACGGUGGUGGAUUCCAAACUUUCAAGCGAGUUUCCAGUGUUUUCCUACCGAUUCCAGCCGAAUUGGUUCAACCGUCAGGUAUAAAAGUUGUUUCCCUUUCUUCAAUCUACAAGUUUGCUGUUGGAAGUUUGUUGAGAUUUUGAAGUUGCUGGGGUGGCGCGUGGGGCCCACUCGUCGCCGUCUAUGGUGGAACGUGGCGGCGCGUCCGACAGGGGUUGGGAGGUUAGGAGUAACUGUUAGCUUAUGUUCGUCGAUACAAGCACGUUGACAUAUCAUGAGGUUAUGUUAUGAUCAAGUUUUGCAUCCUAGGUUUAAGAGAAUCGUGAGAGAUUGUUAAGCUUUGGUGUUUGAGCUUUGAAAUUCUUGUUAGCUAUUUCAAUAGGUUGGUUAAGGGUUCCUAUGACCUUGGGAGGUCUCGGAAGAAGGUUGUCCCUUUUUGGGCAAAUCUUAGGUUAAGGCUUGUUAAGGGUGCAAUGUUCUUUUUGUUUAAGUGGUUAUUAAAGUUAUUAAUUGUGUUAAAUAGGUAGCGUGUGGAGUUGAUAUUUAAGCUUGGCUCUUGUGUUGUGUUGAAGACACAGCGGGAAUUUAGGUGAGUAAAAUCUCACCAAGGUUCACUUUGUGACAUAUUUAUUUAUGGUUAUUAUGAUGAUGAUAAUUAUUAUGAUGAUGAUUAUGAUGAUGAAAAUGUUGAUGAUGAAGAUUUAAAAACUAUGUUUUUCUUUUUGCUUGUUUUAAAAUAUAUGAGUUUAAUCGCCAACGACUCAUAGGUAAGAAAAAACAAGUUUUUAUAUUUAAAUGAUUAUUUUUAAGGUUCUUGUGAUCAUAAUAUUUUAGUUCUUGGUAGAUUAUUCUUGUGGGAAUAUCUAUGAUUGUUCAUAUAAAUAUAUCUAUGUGGAAGAAUAUAAUUUUUAUGAUGUGCUCUUUGUGUUGUUGAUGAUGAUAUUAUUAUAUUGUGAGUAAAUCUCACAUGGGUUCAUAAAGAAAUCGAGUUUAUUUUAUAGUUUAUUAUUGCUAAUUGUGAAGUUGUCCUUGAAAUGAAAUGAUUUUGUUUUUAAAUAUAAAUGAGCUUGAUCGUCAACGGCUCAUGGGUAAGUAAAAAUAUUUUUCUGAUAAAAAUAAAAUAUUUCAAAAGAACUUCUGAUCAUGGGUUAUUAGUUGUCGAUGUGUGUGUCUUAGUGGUAAUUGUGUGCAUUAGUUGUGGAACAGUGCCUUAGUGGUGAACUGGUGAUUGUGUGCAUUAGUUGUGGAUGUGUGUGUCUUAAUGAUGAUUGUGUGCAUUCGUUGUGGAAUGUGCCUUAGUAGUGAUUGUGUGUCUUAGUUGUGAAUGUGUGCCUUAGUGGUGAUUGUAUGCAUUAGUUGUGGAUGUGUGUCUUAGUGGUGAUUGUGUGCAUUAGAUUAGGAGUCUUCGUGGUGGACCGGGAACCAAGCCUUGGCCGGGUGAUUGAUUACGGUCAGUAUAGAGCUCUAGUUUGUCUGUCGGUACUUCAUGGGGGAUGACUAAGUGUCAACGAACCCAUGCGUACGCGUUUGUUUGGUUACUUAUGAGGGAUGACUAAGUGUUGACGAACUCAUAAGUAAGAGUAGAGAAAUGAUUAUGUGAUGUUCUUAUGUGUUGUCAUUUAAAUUCCUUGCUUUGAGUAUCUCCUGAACUAUGCUUAUCCGCAGGAGAUUCUAAAUCUUUACUUGUGAUUUUUAGUGAAUUCCUGAACUACAUUUUUUUGCAGGAUUCAUUUAUGAUUUUAAUUAUUUGUGGAUGGUUGUGUUUUCUUAUUUACUCUAUUUUAAAUUCUCUCAUUUUUAGGCAAUUCCUGAACUAAGUUUAUAAGCAAGAAUUACUGAUGUUUAUCUUGUGAUGUUAGGUUGAGUUCUUUAAUGUAGAUUUACUCAUAUGAGCUUUUAAAGCUUACCGAGUUUGUUGUUUACAACCCGGUACACCAAUCCAGGGUGUAGAGGUUGAUUUUGCAGGUCAGGUUUAGCAGAGUUAAGGCUGCGGCAAUUAGGUAAUUUUUCUUUUUGUUUACUUUCUAGUUGUUGUGAGUAUUGAGAGAGUUUUACUUUGUUCAAAAUUAUUUUCCACAAGUUGUAAAACUAAAUUGUUGUAGUGAUUGUUUUUCUUUUUUGGUUAUUAUGCCUUGAAUUUGAAAUUUUUUAUUUAUCCAAAAUUUAGGGUGUGACAACCUAAACGCUUGAUUUGUUCCACUUUCUGAAAGCGGGAGGAAUCACUUAAAGUGCUUAGGCUCUACGUAUUUUUCGACCGCGCAAGGAAGAGUAGAAAUCCUGAGAUUGCACAAAGUCAUCCUCUUUCAAGUUUUGUAUGUCUCUUCUUUAACAUGGAAAACACUUCGAGCAAAUUCAUUUCCUUGUUUUGAUAUGGCAGUACUCUAUACAACCCGAGCAAACUCAUUUUCUUACUUUGUUAUGACUGGACUUAGAAGCAUCUUCCAAGCUGCCUACGUACUCUUACGAGAAAGAGAUCAAGUCACGACGUAGUUCAAGGAUUUUUUUAUAUUUUUUUAGGUGUCGUACGCAGUUUAUGCUCGUGGGGGCAAGGAGCAUUUUUUUUUUUGUGCCUUGUGCAGUUGAGGCUCAUGCAGGCUAGGAGUUGUUUUUUUUUUUCUUUUUUUUGGUUGUCAUUUGCAAUUUAAGCUCGUGCAGACAAGGAGCGAUAAUUUUUUUUUGUUUUUUGUUUUUUUUUGUGUGUCAUUCGCAGUUUAAACUAGUGCGGACAAGAAACAUUUUGACUCUUGAGUGGUCUACAUAAAUUUAGACGGGUUGCAUGCCCCUAACAAAGGUGUUGAGGACACCACUUCAAGGUGUUCAAAAAAGAUGGUUGCAUAAUUUGACUAAGCCACGUCAUCUUCAACAUCUAAACAUAUCUUUCCUUGUUGUGCUAGCUUCAUGAUGAGGUCUUUCAAGACGAAGCCCUUCUCCAGGAUGACCGAUGACACGGUGGUACUUGUAAUACUUAGGAUCAUUGACACGAUGCAUCUCUUCUGGACGCUUGCAGUCUGGCAAUUUGAUUAGUUCUUUUUCAAGCAAGUUUUCCAACAUCUCAACAACAUCGAAAUCUGGAAAAGGGUAACUUUUAGCUUCCAAGUCAUUUAGAGUUUGCCUCCUUGCUUGAUCUUGCAGGAGUUGUACUGAUUGCCAAAGACUCUUGAUUCUCUGGUUCUAUGAUGUCACAUUUUCUUUGGCCAUGACUAGCCAAACUGAGUUCCAUGUCAUGAGCUCGGGUAGCAAGUUCUUCAAAGGUGCGAGGCUUUAUCCCUUGAAAAAUGUACAACAAAUCCCAAUGCAUGCCUUGAAUACACAUCUAUACCGCUGACAAUUUUAAGAGUCGGUCUUUGCAGUCGAGACUUAGUGUACGCCAACGAUUGAUGAACUCUACAGCAGGCUCGCCAUUUUGUUGUUUGGUGUUGGUGAGCUCUAACAUACUCACCAUGCGACGUGUGUUGAAGAAGUGGUUCAAGAACUCCUUUUCCAUUUGCUCCCAGCUGUCAAUGAAUUCAGGCUCCAAGUCUGUAAACCAUUUAAACUCCGUGCCUUGGAGUGAGCGAACAAAUUGCUUCACAAGAUGAUCACCAUCGGUGCCAGUGUUGUUGCAUGUUUCGAUGAAAUGUGCGAUGUGUUGCUUUGGGUUACAUUUGCCAUCAAAUUGUUAAAACUUGGGAGGUUGGUAACCAGUUGACAUUCUCAAAUUGUCUAGCCGCUUGGUGUAAGACUUGGAAUACGUUAGUGUAUCUCGAGGCGAACCACCAUAUUGAGCUUUGAUUGUCUUGGCAAUCAUGUCUUGAAGCUGUUGAACUAACAAUGAAGCUAGGAUGGAAUUUGAUUCUCCUUUUUGCUCGGAAGAUGAUCCACUAGACUUGUCUUUCUUAUCGCCAUGAAGGUUAUUCUCCGAGUCAUUGUCGUGGUGAACUUCUAGCUUCUCCAUGAGUGAUGCAAUUUCUACAUCCUUCUCUUCAAUGGUCUUUUGGAGCUUCUUCACCGCUUCAGUCAACUGGGCUAUUUGGGCCGCUUGUUCUUCCAUGUUGAUCACUUCUAUCACCAUGACUUGCAUGGCGCAAGAGUCGUCUUCUAGAAUCGCUUCAAUUUGAUUGUCAAGAUGCAAUUCCAAGUGUGGACAUAUCUUCGAAUCAACUUUGGUUGUGGGCGAAGGAGAAUGUUUCCUCGAGUUGCCUGACGAUGUUAAAAGUCUUUGCUUCGUGAGGUUUGCCACCAUUGUUGUCCAAACGUCGAUCAGCUGAAACUGCUUUGAGGAAUGAAGGUUGAAUGUUGUGAGUUGAAAUGACUCACUAUGAGCAACAUGAUCGCUAAGGUUUCUACUGCUUUUCAGAGUAGCUAUAUAGCUACCUUGUUGGUCUUGUUUUUCGAUUUGAUUUGCACCAUCUUUGAAGCCAUGUGAUGAGGAUGGCGAGAUUGUCGGAGGAGGAGAUGAGAGGCAGAGAUGGUCUCACUGGGCGUGCCAAUUUUGUAAACACGAAAAUUUCUGUAACGAAUAACAGAAAGACAUGUGUACAAAAUAAUAUAUUUGUAUUGAUUGAAUUUGCGGGUUACAAUCUCUGUGGGUAUUCUUUUAACAAGAAUGUCCUCUGAUUCGAUCUCCAUCGUUGAUUUGAUCCAAGGGUGACGAGCACUUGAUCUUGAAUUGAACUGUUGUAGUUUGAACUUCUUAUCGUGUUGACGAUUUGUAGAAGGAAGUUGACCAAGGGCCGUAGAGGCUUGAUCUUGGUCGAAUUUGGGUCGAGAAAGGUGUCACGUGGUGAACGUUCUUCGGCUUGAUAGCGGAUGAAUCGGCACGUGUGUUUGGUGCUUGUUGAUUCUCCAACAGCUUGUUGAAGAACUUGGUAAAAGUUUUGAUUUGUUGAAAGGCUUGAAGACGAGGGUUGAUCAAAGGCCGUAGAGGCUUGACAUUGAUCGGGUUUGGGCCACGAGCAGUUCCACGUGGUGGUUGCUCUUCGUCUUGUAGUUGGUGAAGAUGUCGGCUAUUUGACAAUUUGGGACUCUUCGGGAUUUGACAACUUCUAGGUUUGAGGUUGAUGAAGAAUCGACUAUUUGACAGCUUGAUAAUUCUUCAAGGGUUCUGGGAGAAUUCUGAGCUCUCGAGAGUAAUUUUUCUCUCUUGUCCGGAAGUCCUCUUCUUGAUAUGAGAGAGGGGUAUUUAUAGUGUCGACGUUCCUCCGUUUAUGGAAUGUUUUGAAGACAGUGUUUUAAUUGUAUUUCCUUAACAGUAUAAUUAAAUCAAUCAGUUUUGAUUGAUUGAUCUAAUUAUAAUUAUUAACAUAAUUAAAUCAGUCUGUAUUUAUUGAUUGAUUCGAUUAUGACUGAUAAAGUAUUUUGCUAAUUUGAUUAAAUGUUCGACUUCCUUUCCGAUAAUCAAUUUAAUUUGAUUGAAAUUUGAUUAUCGAUUGACAUUUAAUAUUUACUUUUAGUCGGAAUUGAUGAUUUUUGUUGUCGACUGAUCAUUCACACGUGACCACAUGUCAUUUUCGAAGACUUUAUAAUUUUUCCAACUGACGAACCACAUAUGC
rnacentral:lncRNA from 1 species